CUGCUUUGGCAGCAUGUAUUCUAAAACUGGAACAUACAUAGAAAAUUAGCAUGACCCCUGUGCAACAAUGACAGGCAAAUUCAUGAAGCUUUCCUUAUUUUU
ensembl:snRNA U6 U6 spliceosomal RNA